rnacentral:rRNA from 1 species
GCAAGUCGAACGGUAACAGGAAGCAGCUUGCUGCUUGCUGACGAGUGGCGGACGGGGUGAGUAAUGUCUGGGAAACGUGCCCGAUGGAGGGGGAGUAACUACUGGAAACGGUAAGCGUAAUACCGCAUAAUGUCGCAAGACCAAGAGGGGGACCUUCGGGCCUCUUGCCAUCGGAUGUGCCCAGAUGGGAUUAGCUAGUUGGUGAGGUAACGGCUCACCAAGGCGACGAUCCCUAGCUGGUCUGAGAGGAUGACCAGCCACACUGGAACUGAGACACGGUCCAGACUCCUACGGGAGGCAGCAGUGGGGAAUAUUGCACAAUGGGCGCAAGCCUGAUGCAGCCAAUGCCGCGUGUAUGAAGAAGGCCUUCGGGUUGUAAAGUACUUUCAGCGGGGAGGAAGGGGUUAAGGUUAAUAACCUUAGCCAUUGACGUUACCCGCAGAAGAAGCACCGGCCAACUCCGUGCCAGCCGCGGC